rfam:Ictidomys tridecemlineatus contig136013, whole genome shotgun sequence.
GGGGUUGUGGCUCAGUGGUAGAGCACUUGCCUAGCAUGCACGAGGCACUGGGUUCGAUUCCUGGGCACCA